rnacentral:lncRNA from 1 species
UUAGAAUUCUGUCUUAUAUGCUGAUAAAAGAAGCCUACAGAUUGUGAUUGAAGUGAUAUUGCUUGCUCUUGCCUGAAUUUUGGUUAGCAUAUUACCUUGGGUUUAUGUUGGAGCCUCUAAAUUGUGACUGGAAUGUAAAAGGGCUUGCAUGUUGAGACCAUCUGUGGGAGCUACAUUGUCUGAAAGUUGACAAGAGAUCAUGGCAGAUGGCGAGGUCAAAAGAUUGACUUUUUGAGCUUGACAUAAUGUGCUCAUGAAGCUGGAAGAAGAACUUAUGUUUUUAACUAACAGAAGACUUGGAAACAGGAAGGCGUGUGCAGUUGCUGAGUGUGGAUAAACACCAUGCCUCAGCACACAUGGCUGGGUUAUAUCUGAGACUCACCAGUAUUGCCAAAGAUAGCAAUUUCUGAAAACAUUCAGUGUCCCAUUAUCUUCUUGACAUUUUGGAAAGUUUAAAGCCACAUAUGAAAAAUUUGCAGGUAAUUUUAACAUUGGUCAAUACAAAAGGAAAACAAAAUCUUUUAAAAGCAUUUAAGAUACUUAACCUUUUUAAUCGUAAUUGAAAACAUUUCUUUUUUUGGUUUGUUUGUUUGUUUUUGUGUUUUUUGAGACAGGGUUUCUCUGUAUAGCCCUGGCUGUUCUGGAACUUACUCUGUAGACCAGGCUGGCCUGGAAUUCACAGAGAUGCACCUGCCACUGCCUCUCAAGAGUUAGAAUUAAAGGUGUGUGCCACCACUGUCCAGCUUUCUCCUGUUUUAAAAUUGCAGUUUGUGUUGUAUUUUUUAUUUUUCCUUUAUAAAUUAUUCAUUACUUACUUUGGAAGAAGCAGCAUCAAGUUUUCAUGGGAAAUGAGCACUGAUUUCGCCCUGGUGUUGAUUGCUUACACUGUGUUGGGUAGUGUUUUAUUAACUUUAUAUGUGUCAUCUUAUUCAGUGUAGUGUAAACUGCCUUUAAUACUUGGCAGAAAAUAGAAAUUGAGGUGCAGAAAUAUUAUGAUACAUUUUUUCAAUAAACAUAAGCUCCUUUGGCUUUAUUUUAAGCAUUUAUUGUUUAGGCAGCAUUUAGAGAAUCAGUCUGUGCCACACUUUGCUAAGAUGAUACAGAGAAUACUAACAGGAUCGCACGUGGCUCUCAGGUUCAUUGAUGUGGCAAACAUCUUUUUUGUUGGUUGCUUCUUACUUGGUGUUCUGAAAUAGUUAGAUUCUGUUAACUUCCUAAUUUUUUAACUAUCCUUCUCUCCAUAUGAUACUGGGGAUAUAGUCCAGAUUCCUGGUAAGCCCUCUAAUUAUUGAACUACAUCUCCAGUCUUUCAUCAGUUUCUUUUUAUUUGCUUGAACACCACAGUGCUGUUCAGUAGCCUAGUUUUUAGGAAAUAUGAUACAGUAUUGAAUAUUGAGCACAGAGAUGAAGCAGAUGCAUAGAGACAGGCAGCUGUAGUCAUUUCAGCCAUGCUCUGGGCUCAGGGAGGGAGAAAAAAGGGGAUCCUUGUAGCCAGAUCUGCUAGCUCACUUCAUUAGUAUCUGCUUAUGUCUUGUUGGCAGCAUUAAGUCAUACAUUAUAUGGACAAACCAUCUGUGAGGAAGGAGAAGAGAGCAUUUUAGUGAACACAUUGCUACCUUCAACUUUUUAAGUGAGAGGAAAAUAAUAGGGAAUAAUAUCUACCCAGAAUCUGUACAUAGAAAGCUCAUAAAACUUAAUGAGUUAAAAUCAUGUCUUCUGUGGGAAAGACUUAAUUUCCUGUCAUAAAUGUAUUUUAGUAGGUUAUAAAGUAAUUUAAUUUUUUGUUUUCUGUUAUUGUGUGUGUUUGUGAUGUUAUUUAUGUUUUAAAUAUUUUAGAGUAUUUUAUUUUUGAGAAUUUUAUAUAUAUAUGAAUUUCAUAUAUAUGUAUGUGAUGUAUUUCAUAUAUAUAUGAAUUUCAUAUAUAUAUAUAUGAAUUUCAUAUAUAUAUAUGUGAUGUAUUUUUACCAUUCAGGUGCUCUUUUCUAUUUUAUGAAUUUCUCUUAUAUCGCACUGAGUCCAGUUCAUGCUGGCUGUAUGUGCAUGGGUGUGGGAAAAUUGAAAGAGACAUUUGUACUUAUUAGUGUGUGUGAUGUAUGUGGGUGGACAUGGUGCAGCGUGUAUAUGAAUAUCAGAGUACCACUGUGUGGAGUCAGUCCCUCCUCCUACCUUUGCCUAAGUUCCAGGGCUGUUCAGUAAAUACCUUUGCCCUCUCAUCUGUCUCUCUGGUCAGGUGUGUUUUGAGACAGGGUCUCAUGUAGCUCAGGCUGCUUUGGAGCUUGCUGUCAUCCAAGGCUGGCAUUUAAUUACUGAUUUUCCUAUCUCUACAUUCUCAGGUGUGUCUUUUUUUUUUCUUCUUUUUUCAUUUUGAGUGCCUUUCUUUUAACUCUAGUGCUUUAAAAUCUAUAUUAAAAUUUAAUAGAUUUCACUUCUGUUUUAAGAUAAUCUAAUAUUUGUUUAUUUAGUUAUUUUUGAGACAUAGUUUCACUGAAUGGAUUAGGCUGGUCUGGAUCUCACUGUGCUACUUCGUGGCCUAAGCUGGCCUCACACUUGUAAUUUCCCUUGUCUCAACUCCCAAGUCUUCAUGUUAUGGCAUGAGCUGCCAUGGCUGGUGUGAUGAUUUUAAAAGAAAAAUUAUAUGAAACUCUCUCUCCAAAAAUCAAAUAAACACACAAAAAUGAGAAGAGCUACAGAGGCAGGGUAGAGAACUGCUGGACGCCUUUGCCCAGAUUCACCGAUUAUAACAGUUUAUACCUGCUUUAUUUUUUCCGUUUCCUCUCUGUCUCAUUUGAAAGUAAGUUCUUGUUAUGAUGCCUCUCACCUCCUGAAGUAUUCCAGUUUAUUUUUCUCCCUAAGAUAAAGGAUGUUUAACAUAUAGAAAGACCCUAUAGUUUAUGGACUAAUAUUCAGAAACAACAAUGAAAUUUGGGCCUGGUUGCUUGGACCUGUAAUCCUAGCAUUUAGAAGACUGAGACAAGAGAAUUCUAGACAGGCCAGAACUCAGUAGCAAAACCCUAUCCG